rnacentral:rRNA from 1 species
UACGUAGGGUCCGAGCGUUGUCCGGAAUUAUUGGGCGUAAAGGGCUCGUAGGCGGUUUGUCACGUCGGGCGUGAAAACUCAGGGCUCAACCCUGAGCGUGCUUCCGAUACGGGCAGACUAGAGGUAUGCAGGGGAGAACGGAAUUCCUGGUGUAGCGGUGGAAUGCGCAGAUAUCAGGAGGAACACCGGUGGCGAAGGCGGUUCUCCGGGCAUUACCUGACGCUGAGGAGCGAAAGCAUGGGGAGCGAACAGG